AUCCAGCUGACGAGUCCCAAAUAGGAUGAAGAGUGCAUCGUGGAU
rfam:Schistosoma haematobium scaffold871_17, whole genome shotgun sequence.